rnacentral:rRNA from 1 species
CACGUAGGGGCGAGCGUUGUCCGGAUUUAUUGGGCGUAAAGAGCUCGUAGGCGGUUUCGUUAGUCGGGUGUGAAAACCCCAGGCUCAACCUGGGGACGCCACCCGAUACUGCGAUGACUAGAGUCCGGUAGGGGAGUGUGGAAUUCCUGGUGUAGCGGUGAAAUGCGCAGAUAUCAGGAGGAACACCAACGGCGAAGGCAGCACUCUGGGCCGGAACUGACGCUGAGGAGCGAAAGCGUGGGUAGCGAACAGGA